GCUAGGAUGAACGCUAGCUACAGGCUUAACACAUGCAAGUCGAGGGGCAGCAUUGGGAUAGCUUGCUAUCCAGAUGGCGACCGGCGCACGGGUGAGUAACGCGUAUCCAACCUUCCCUAUAGUAGAGAAUAGCCCGGCGAAAGUCGGAUUAAUGCUCUAUGUUGUGUUUUGAGGACAUCUGACGAACACCAAAGGUUCACCGCUAUAGGAUGGGGAUGCGUCUGAUUAGCUUGUUGGCGGGUAACGGCCCACCAAGGCGACGAUCAGUAGGGGUUCUGAGAGGAAGGUCCCCCACAUUGGUACUGAGACACGGACCAAACUCCUACGGGAGGCAGCAGUGAGGAAUAUUGGUCAAUGGGCGAGAGCCUGAACCAGCCAAGUAGCGUGCCAGGACGACUGCCCUAUGGGUUGUAAACUGCUUUUAUCAGGGAAUAAAGUGCGGCACGUGUGCCGUUUUGUAUGUACCUGAUGAAUAAGGACCGGCUAAUUCCGUGCCAGCCGCGGC
rnacentral:rRNA from 1 species